UACGGGGUGCUGCAGUGGGGAAUAUUGGACAAUGGGCGAAAGCCUGAUCCAGCCAUGCCGCGUGUGUGAAGAAGGCCUUCGGGUUGUAAAGCACUUUCAGUGGGGAAGAAAGCCUUGGGGCUAAUACCCUCGAGGAAGGACAUCACCCACAGAAGAAGCACCGGCUAACUCCGUGCCAGCAGCCGCGGUAAUACGGAGGGUGCGAGCGUUAAUCGGAAUUACUGGGCGUAAAGCGCGCGUAGGCGGUCUGAUAAGCCGGUUGUGAAAGCCCCGGGCUCAACCUGGGAACGGCAUCCGGAACUGUCAGGCUAGAGUGCAGGAGAGGAAGGUAGAAUUCCCGGUGUAGCGGUGAAAUGCGUAGAGAUCGGGAGGAAUACCAGUGGCGAAGGCGGCCUUCUGGACUGACACUGACGCUGAGGUGCGAAAGCGUGGGUAGCAAACAGGAUUAGAUACCCUAGUAGUC
rnacentral:rRNA from 1 species